rnacentral:lncRNA from 1 species
UGCUCUAUAUUAAAGAGUGUUUCUUUUAGCUUUUUGUAAACUAUGGUUUGAUCAUGUUGUUGCAUUGUGUGUUCAGACAGAUGUCUGUUAGAAGGAGGAAGUCAGUUCAGUCUCAAAUAUUUAUCACAGCUCUGAGGAUGUCGAGGAUUGUUGCCUGUCUGCUCUCCAUUUCAGUGCUGUGGAAGAGAGCUGCUUGCCAGAAGAACCAUGACUCUCCUCCAACCCCUGAACCACCUGAAAGGACAGACAGUCUAGAGUAUGACGUGAUACAGCUGGUACUCACACCAAGAGGACCAAGGCCCGACCACGUUGCCUCAACUAUUUACUCCAGAGUUCAGUUUCCAGUAUUUCUGAGGAGUAUUUCUGUCUGUAAUAAAGCCCUUUUGUGUGAAGAACUCAUUCUGAUUGACUGGGACUGGCUCCCCUGUGGGUGGACCUGGCUUCCAAGUGGGUGGGCCUAA